GAUGAACGCUAGCUACAGGCUUAACACAUGCAAGUCGAGGGGAAACGACAUCGAAAGCUUGCUUUUGAUGGGCGUCGACCGGCGCACGGGUGAGUAACGCGUAUCCAACCUGCCCACCACUUGGGGAUAACCUUGCGAAAGUAAGACUAAUACCCAAUGAUAUCUCUAGAAGACAUCUGACAGGGAUUAAAGAUUUAUCGGUGAUGGAUGGGGAUGCGUCUGAUUAGCUUGUUGGCGGGGUAACGGCCCACCAAGGCGACGAUCAGUAGGGGUUCUGAGAGGAAGGUCCCCCACAUUGGAACUGAGACACGGUCCAAACUCCUACGGGAGGCAGCAGUGAGGAAUAUUGGUCAAUGGACGAGAGUCUGAACCAGCCAAGUAGCGUGCAGGAUGACGGCCCUAUGGGUUGUAAACUGCUUUUAUAAGGGAAUAAAGUGAGUCUCGUGAGACUUUUUGCAUGUACCUUAUGAAUAAGGACCGGCUAAUUCCGUGCCAGCCGCCGCCGUAA
rnacentral:rRNA from 1 species